CGCCUCUUGAUAAAACAUAAGAGGUCCAGCCUGCCCAGUGACAAAGUUUAACGGCCGCGGUACCCUAACCGUGCGAAGGUAGCAUAAUCACUUGUUCUUUAAAUAGGGACUCGUAUCAACGGCAUCACGAGGGCUAUACUGUCUCCUUUCUCCAAUCAGUGAAACUGAUCUUCCCGUGAAGAAGCGGGAAUUAUUAUAUAAGACGAGAAGACCCCAUGGAGCUUUAAACUUAAUAUGUACUUCUACGCACACACAUCAUAUAGCCAAAGAAAUUUAUGUAUUAGUUUUGGGUUGGGGGGACCGCGGAGAAAAAACUAUCCUCCGCAACUAAUAGGCCAACGCCUUUAUCCAUGAACUACACUUCUAAGAAUCAGUAAACUGAUGUUUUAUGACCCAAUUUAAUUGAUCAACGAACCAAGUUACCCUGGGGAUAACAGCGCAAUCUACUUCAAGAGCUCCUAUCGACAAGCAGGUUUACGACCUCGAUGUUGGAUCAGGGUGUCCUAGUGGUGCAGCCGCUACUAAAGGUUCGUUUGUUCAACGAUUAAAACCCU
rnacentral:rRNA from 1 species